AUGUCAGAGAAGUUUGAGAUGUCUAUGAUGAGUGAACUCAAAUUCUUUCUCGGUUUGCAAAUCAAGCAAACUAAGGAAGGUACAUUUGUCUCUCAAACGAAGUACACCAAGGACUUAUUCAAGAAGUUCAAUAUGCAAGAAUGCAAAGGUAUGUCUACACCCAUGCCUACUAGUGGACAUAAUGAUUUAACCAAAGAUGGUGAACCGGUUGAUCAAAAGGUUUAUCGCUCUAUGAUUGGUUCAUUGUUAUACCUAUGUGCUUCACGUCCCGAUAUUAUGCUAAGUGUGUGCAUGUGUGCACGAUAUCAAGCUGCUCCUAAAGAAUGUCAUCUUAAGGCUGUGAAAAGGAUAGUGAGAUAUUUAAUCCAUACACCAAAUUUUGGCAUUUGGUAUCCUAAGAGGUCUUCUUUUGAUCUUGUUGGCUAUUCUGACUCGGAUUAUGCCGGAGAUAAGGUUGAUAGAAAGUCCACUUCGGGUACUUGUCAAUUUCUUGGUAGAUCUCUUGUGUCUUGGUCUUCCAAGAAACAAAACUCAGUAUCCUUAUCCACCGCCGAAGCGGAAUACAUUGCCGCUGGUUCAUGUUGUGCUCAAUUACUUUGGAUGACCCAAACUCUUAAAGAUUAUGGGAUCUAUGUGAAACAUGUUCCACUACUUUGUGACAAUGAAAGUGCUAUCAAAAUUGGUCAUAAUCCUGUACAACAUUCUCGAACUAAGCAUAUUGAAGUUCGUCAUCAUUUCAUUCGAGAUCAUGUUGCUAAGGGUGACAUUGAUCUUAAGCAUGUUCGCACCGAUAAGCAAUUAGCGGAUAUAUUUACUAAACCUCUUGAUGAGAAAGUGUUUUGCAGGUUGAGAGGAGAAUUGAACAUCAUUGAUGCUUCGAACUUGGAGUAG
rnacentral:rRNA from 1 species